CUGUUUCCUGGCAACCAGCUCACUACUCCCUGAAGGGCACUUUCAAGAAAGUUCAAUCAAUGGAAGGGUCAAAUGUUUUCUUUUUCAAACGUCCAUUUUGCAUGUAAUGGCUGCUCCAUGCAGAGUUUACGGGUGUUCUCUUGUUCAUGAGAUCUAGCGUCCUUCUGCACAAAUGCAUGUGCUAUGGGGAAAAUGAACUCCCACCCCAGAAACGCAUUUUCUGAAAGGGCUUUAAGAUGGUGAGAGAAACGGCCAGUCAGGAGACAGUUGUGUACACCGAACUCUAGCUGAGGAAACAGUAACAAGAAGCCACAUCCUGAUUCGCAUCCUCCUCCCGAAACCCUGCAACUUCCUGAAUUCCCGUGCUCCUCAGGCGGGACUUCCUGUUGGAGAUGGAGCUAAAGAAGCUGAAAAACUCCUCCAUCCUUCCUAAGAUAGAUCUCAUUUAUGCAUGAGGUCAGACAAAUUUCCCUAAUGCUGCCCUUGAGGGGAUAUCCGGGGAUAACAAAGGCUGUCUUCCAUGCCUCUCCCCGAAUCGAGAUGUAAACCAGAAAACAUAAAAUAAAAAGCCAAAAAUCAUUCCAAAAAGUCGACAUUAAAUUGACAAAAAGACCCCGU
ensembl:lncRNA